rnacentral:lncRNA from 1 species
AAAGCUGGUAGCCACUGCUGCCUACUAAGACACCACAUGGGCACUGCCACCACAGCUUGGGGUUGGGGGAGGGCAGACUGUUCAGAGGUCUGCAGCGCUGAGGAACCCACUUGAAGAGCACCAGUCUCCUCCCCACGCUUGCCGGUGAUGGAAGAGAGACAAAGUUGACUCACUUGAAGAAGAGAGGCAUCUACAGUUUUCAAGGACUACGGAGGAAAACCCUUCCUCUAAGCAGCUGCCCCGUCUCACUGCUGCUGAAUUCCUCCCACAGGCAGCAAUGGCUUUGAGUGUCAAUGGCCGGCCCGAGCCACACUGGCCUUGAAGAUUCCUAAGAGCUAUUUUGAGUGAUUUCACUGCUCGCGGUCCUGGCAAACUUAUCCAUUUUCAGACAAUAUUUAGAUUCUGAGGUAAGUGUGAACUAGAUAAUGACCUUUCAAGCCAUGGCACGAUGUUCUGUUUAAAGCUUUCGUUUCUUCCUCAGAGCAACUACAAAGUCCUCUGACCCUUCAGCAUGGCCUCCUGGAGAUUUCCCUAAGGUUCUGCGCACACUCCUGUGCUGCGCGUGUGCGGAGGGUGGGGGUGGGGUCGUAAUGACUGAGGGCAAAAUCCUCACGUGUCUUGGGUCCUGAGGAACCAAAUUGAACUUCUGAGAUGCAUAGUACCAAGGCAUGGUCUGAGGCAUUUCAUGCUCUCUGGAUGUUUUUAAGGCUGGCCUCAAAAUACAUGUGAGCAUAGAGCAGCCGUCCCCCAGUGAGUGUAACUAGUAGUUGGCUGGCUAUGGCUGAAACAAUAGGCUAUCUGCAACUUUACUUUUAGGUGACUCAUCAGAAAAGCUAUUUUAGACAGUCUGUAGCGAGUAAGAUUACAUUUGUUCUAAGAGAAACAGACCUAAGGGACAAAAGGCUAAUUGCAAAAGUGCUCUUUUUCAGCUCAGAGAAGCCUUGCUGUAUUUUCUUGACAGCAUCUUAGUUACCAGACACAACAGAAGGCAUAAAAGCUGGUAUCAAAAACAAUGGGAAACAAUCAUGCCCUGACACCACCCGGCACGCACACCACUUUGCUCAUCAAAAGGCAAGCUUGUUGAAGAAGCAACGGCCUUGUCCACAUGCUCAUCAUAGAGCCUACACAUGCCCUUGUGUGGGAACCUUUGUCAGGCUGCGGCUAUGGUGGCCUUGUGACCUGCCAAUCGGUUGUCCAACCUUCUGAUCAUCUGGAGUUCUCUCAGCAGUUGCUAUCCCCUCUCUCUCCACCAACUCAGGGUGAAGGAGCAGGUAGAACUUUCUGGCAGGAACUUGGAGCAUAGGCUGAGUCUUCUGGGGUGAGCAAGAACACAGCAGAUACAAGAGAUGGUGGGUGGGCUCCCACAGAUCUCCAAGCAAUCCCAGGAAGCAUUUAGCUUAUUAUUCACUAAACAGUUGUUCCCUGCCUGAAGAUGAGAAGUGAAAUGACCCAGGAUCUUCUAGAACUAAGAGCUGUCAUGAGUAUCCCGAGAGGAAGGAAAAGCUGAAACCAUUACCCCAGACCUGCAAGGGUUUUCCUGUCUUGGGUCCCCUCACUUUCCAUUGCUGAGAUCACAUCAGCCCCCCAAGAGGAAAUAUUGCUUUAGUGGCUGGCCUCUUGCCAUGGCUGAGCCAGGCUAGAACAUUCCCAAAGCCUUUACACAACCCUAGAGAAGAACAACUGGACAUAAACAAGAAAAUGCAUGAAACAUAAACACAACACAAGCUUGUGAACCACAGUAACAGGGCAAGACACGGGUGGAAGGAAUUUUGCGUGUUAUGAGUUUUUGUGAAUUUAUCAAGAGCCAUACUUACUCUAAAAGCAAUGCAUCUG